rnacentral:lncRNA from 1 species
CUGAAAACAUGGAGAAAGGCGAUGAGGCGAAUUUCCAUCAAGUGAAAAGGUGACAUUUAUGUAGCUGAAAGAAGAGGGUAACCUAGACUCUUUCCUGUAGAAUUUGGAGAGGGAGAGAGACAGAGACAGAGAGAGGGGAAGGAAGGGAGGAAAAGAUGGGUGAAAAAAGAGGAACAGAGAAACAGUGGAAGAUAAGGUAUGGGAAGGAAACCAGGAUGAAGACAUCGUUGUGAUCGUUGCAGAACCGCCACGUGCUGUGCGCGUGGUAAACCAUCGUUACAGCUGUUAAACUAGUGGGACUCAGUGGGAUGGGUUUACAAACAAGAGUCUAUGGAGACUAUUAGGUGCCAAAACUAUUUAAGCAAAGAGAUAUCACUAUCAGAAAGUCAGCGUGAACCCUAGCUGAAAUUUUAGCAAAAUCUGAAUAAUGGCUUCAUUGAUGAGGAAUUCUUUGCCUUGGCAUCAGGUGAAACGGCAUAUUUGUGUCUUGCAAAACCAGACUUUCAUUUUUGACCCAAUGAGUACAAGGGAACUUACUCCUCAGGUUUCAUCCUCAGAUUACAAUUUCAUCUUUUACCCUAGUAAUGCAGAUAUUAAAGUGAUUAAACAGCUUUUCCCCAGGGAAAAAAAUAAUUUGGCAUGGUGUAUUUAAUUCAUUUAUAUUUUAAAAGAAAUUUUUAAGAAACUACAAGCCAUUUGGAAUGUCUGCAGUCACACUGUUUGCCUCCUGCAAUGUACAGAUCUCUGGAUUUUCUGGUUGCUGUUACUUCCUAGACAGUGCAACAAAUAUCAGAAAGUCUGACUCGUUCACAUUUUCCAUCACCUCGGGAAGAAAGCGCAGACUGUUUCUUGGGGAAAAUCUACAGUUCCUUAGUCCAACGUGUCUGACUCAUAAACCCUGUCAUCAAGGACAAACAGAUGAUAGAAGCAGGGAUGUGCUCCUGGAGACACAUGGACCAGUAAGGGAAAUGCUUCUUUUUUUCAAUGCUCCAAUCAGGCUCCUUCCUAAACCUUUGAAGGUAAUCCAGGGCUGGACAUGGGUCUCCCUUGACUUUUAGUAGGGUGAUCCUUUCACACGCUCCAUUAAUAAAUCCUUUAAACUUGUGCCGAAUACCUGUGCA